GGGGUCCGAGAAGACGCGCCACUGUGUGAUUAAUGUGAACUGCAUACUGCUUUGAACAUCGACAUCUUGAACGCCCAUUGCGGCCACGGGUUUUCCUGUGGCCACGCCUGUCCGAGGGUCGGCUUAUAAACUAUCACGACGCCCAAAAAGUCGUGGCUUGGAAUCUGCCAGCUGGCGUGAUUUCCUCUGUGGUUCGCCACGUGAGGUGCCAGAUCUAUGGCGUUUUCCUAAUGUCUCCGGACACAACCGCGUCUUGCUGGUAGCGCAGACGAGGGUGUGGCGGUAGAGUCGUGGCUCAGUGAACUGUAAUGGUAGCACGCUCUACUGUUGUGCCUUUGUUAGUGUGACUGGGUUUAGAUGCUAUUGCGGUGCGCCCAAUGAUGAUAACCUACUGUGGGGUUCUGUUACCUGACCUCGCAUCAGACAUGAGUACCCGCUGAGCUUAAGCAUAUCUCUCAGCGGAGGAAAAGAAACUAACCA
rnacentral:rRNA from 1 species